rnacentral:rRNA from 1 species
CCUACGGGAGGCAGCAGUGGGGAAUAUUGGGCAAUGGGCGCAAGCCUGACCCAGCAACGCCGCGUGAAGGAAGAAUGCUUUCGGGUUGUAAACUUCUUUUAUCAGGGACGAAGCAAGUGACGGUACCUGAUGAAUAAGCCACGGCUAACUACGUGCCAGCAGCCGCGGGAAUACGUAGGUGGCAAGCGUUAUCCGGAUUUACUGGGUGUAAAGGGCGUGUUGGCGGGAGUGCAAGUCAGAUGUGAAAACUAUGGGCUCAACCCAUAGCCUGGAUUUGAUACUGGACUUCUUGAGUGCUUGAGAGGCAAUCGGAAUUCCGGGUGUAGCGGUGAAAUGCGUAGAUAUACGGAAGAACACCAGUGGCGAAGGCGGAUUGCUGGACAGUAACUGACGCUGAGGCGCGAAAGCGUGGGGAGCAAACAGGAUUAGAUACCCCAGUAGUC